rnacentral:rRNA from 1 species
ACGAACGCUGGCGGCGUGCUUAACACAUGCAAGUCGAACGGAAAGGCCCUGCUUUUGUGGGGUGCUCGAGUGGCGAACGGGUGAGUAACACGUGAGUAACCUGCCCUUGACUUUGGGAUAACUUCAGGAAACUGGGGCUAAUACCGGAUAGGAGCUCCUGCUGCAUGGUGGGGGUUGGAAAGUUUCGGCGGUUGGGGAUGGACUCGCGGCUUAUCAGCUUGUUGGUGGGGUAGUGGCUUACCAAGGCUUUGACGGGUAGCCGGCCUGAGAGGGUGACCGGCCACAUUGGGACUGAGAUACGGCCAAGACUCCUACGGGAGGCAGCAGUGGGGAAUAUUGCACAAUGGGCGGAAGCCUGAUGCAGCAACGCCGCGUGCGGGAUGACGGCCUUCGGGUUGUAAACCGCUUUCGCCUGUGACGAAGCGUGAGUGACGGUAAUGGGUAAAGAAGCACCGGCUAACUACGUG